UCUCAUCUUCAGAUUCAUAGGCUGCAUCUCGGAUUCGAGUUAUCAAAACUUCAACUGCUCCGUUGCUCGUUGAAGAGUCCUCCAGAAAAUCUAGAUCUGAUCCAGAGUCUGCACAAGAGAAGCUAGAGCACCAUAAGCCAUCUCAGAUCUCUCACCACCACUGCAGGGUACUUUAUCUUUUAAAUGCGAAUCAAGCUAUUUUGCAAGAAUUUGGUGCCCAUCCCAUUGUCAUAAGCAGUGUUGGAGGGUUUCUAUUGGUGCAAAGACUGUCGUGUUUUUCAGGCGAAUGAUGGAAUGACACAUAGAAUGUGUCAAAAUUACCUGGCAAUGUAGCAAAACUGCUUUAAACGCAAGAAAUUUCAUGUGGCUAUUUUUCAAUUCGGAGGAUGUAUGAUGUACACACACUUUUGUAUAAAAUUGUUUGCUUACACUCACAAUGGAAGGGUAGAGGCCACAUUCAGGAUUUUUUUUUUUAUUUCAUGUGAGGUCAAGUGUAUGUGAGAGUGAGGAAUACAAAUAUCUUUAUCCUUUCAAUUUAUGGGACAGGCUGCCAACGCUAUUUCUUUAA